GGGUAGUUCUGCUUUAAGGUCCAGAAAUGGUGGGGUAGUUCUGCUUUAAGGUCCAGACAUGGUGGGGUAGUUCUGCUUUAAGGUCCAGAAAUGGUGGGGUAGUUCUGCUUUAAGGUCCAGAAAUGGUGGGGUAGUUCUGCUUUAAGGUCCAGAC